GACUCCAUAGCUCAGUUGGUUAGAGCGUAGCACUGUUAUUCAGAUAUCCUUCUCCGAUGCAAUGUUGGGGAUGCUGAGGUCGGCGGUUCGAGCCCGCCUGGGGUCG